UACGUAGGGGGCAAGCGUUGUCCGGAUUUACUGGGCGUAAAGGGCGCGUAGGCGGCCACCGCAAGUCAGUUGUGAAAUCUCUGGGCUUAACCCAGAAAGGUCAACUGAUACUGCGGGGCUAGAGUGCAGAAGGGGCAACUGGAAUUCUCGGUGUAGCGGUGAAAUGCGUAGAUAUCGAGAGGAACACCUGCGGCGAAGGCGGGUUGCUGGGCUGACACUGACGCUGAGGCGCGAAAGUUAGGGGAGCGAACGGG
rnacentral:rRNA from 1 species